rnacentral:miRNA from 1 species
GCAGGCCAUAUUGUGCUGCCUCA